GUGUCAGCAGCGCGGUAAUACGUAGGAUGCGAGCGUUAUCCGGAUUUAUUGGGUUUAAAGGGUGCGUAGGCGGCCUGUUAAGUCAGCGGUGAAAUCUAGGGGCUUAACUCCUAAAUUGCCAUUGAUACUGGCGGGCUUGAGUGUAGAUGAGGUAGGCGGAAUGCGUGGUGUAGCGGUGGAAUGCAUAGAUAUCACGCAGAACUCCGAUUGCGAAGGCAGCUUACUAAGGUACAACUGACGCUGAAGCACGAAAGCGUGGGUAUCAAACAGGAUUAGAAAC
rnacentral:rRNA from 1 species